UACGUAGGUGGCAAGCGUUGUCCGGAAUUAUUGGGCGUAAAGCGCGCGCAGGCGGUCCUUUAAGUCUGAUGUGAAAGCCCACGGCUCAACCGUGGAGGGUCAUUGGAAACUGGGGGACUUGAGUGCAGAAGAGGAGAGUGGAAUUCCACGUGUAGCGGUGAAAUGCGUAGAGAUGUGGAGGAACACCAGUGGCGAAGGCGACUCUCUGGUCUGUAACUGACGCUGAGGCGCGAAGGCCAGGGGAGCAAACGGG
rnacentral:rRNA from 1 species